rnacentral:pre_miRNA from 1 species
AAAAAGACAAACCCUAGUUUCCGUGUCCAACGUUUGACCGUCCGUCUUAUUUGAAAAAUUAUGAAAAAAAUUAAAAAAAUAAGUCACGCAUAAAAUAUUAAUCAUGUUUUAUCAUAUAAGACGGACAGUCAAACGUUGACACGAAAACCUAGGGUUUGUCUUUUU